AUCCAAUUCUGCACGCACUCUUUUGAUUUUUCUUAUUGCCAUCUUCUCCAUUACUCUCCACCACUCUUCAUUAUUAUUAGAAAAAAUAUUCAAAAAGUAGAAAACAAAGAGAAAAAGAAGUUCACAUAAGAAUUCUAUUCGCUCAAUGGCCUGAAAAAUACUGAGCACUCAACAGUUCCGUUGGUGCGAAAUGGAGAUAAUUUAAGUAUAGGCUAAAGCGUCAGAACUAUGUUCUAAUAAAGGACAAACCACUCGAAGAAGAGAUAUUUAGGAAAGCUCCGAAAGGUGUUUAUGAAGGUCAAUGGAGACACGAAGAUCAAUUCAAUCUUUGAUUCCAUGCAACGAAUUAAUGGAAGGAAGUACUAUUUUAUAUAAUGUUACAUUUUAAUUCAUGCGGUUUCUGACAUUCAAUGUGAUUACUACUAUUUGAUCACAGAUUUUUAUCUCAUAUGAUGAUCCUUUGAUGAAAUGCUUGGAUGAUAUUGGAGCGUGGAGAUAAGAUGCGACACUUUACAACUACUAUUGGUUAGUGAAGACAACAUAAACUUCCUAGUAUUUUUGGACAUGCUUGAGUUGGAAUGGAGCUAAAAAAGGAAAAUCACCUAUUUUCUUUUUGUUGUUUUUGUUGUUAUGAUUCCCAUUUUGUGGACAUGUAAUGUUAGAUUUUGGUUUUCGACUUGCGUAA